rnacentral:rRNA from 1 species
AUUGAACGCUGGCGGCAUGCUUUACACAUGCAAGUCGAACGGCAGCGGGGAGGAGCUUGCUUCUCUGCCGGCGAGUGGCGAACGGGUGAGUAAUACAUCGGAACGUGUCGAGAAGAGGGGGAUAACCACCCGAAAGGGUGGCUAAUACCGCAUAAAUUCUGAGGAAGAAAGCUGGGGACCUAGGAAUAGGCCUAGCGCUUUUUGAGCGGCCGAUGUCGGAUUAGCUAGUUGGUGAGGUAAAGGCUCACCAAGGCGAAGAUCUGUAGCGGGUCUGAGAGGAUGAUCCGCCACACUGGGACUGAGACACGGCCCAGAUUCCUACGGGAGGCAGCAGUGGGGAAUUUUGGACAAUGGGGGCAACCCUGAUCCAGCCAUGCCGCGUGUAUGAAGAAGGCCUUAGGGCUGUAAAGUACUUUUGUUAGGGAAGAAAAGUCAGCUGUGAAUAAUGGCUGAUACUGACGGUACCUAAAGAAUAAGCACCGGCUAACUACGUG